AAUAGUAAGGUUAACUGAAUCAACCAUACAUACAUAAAAAAUAAUGACUUAUUUACUUACCCCUUGGUGGUUUACUUGUAGCCAUUUCUAUUAGGGGGACGGGGCGCCCCGUUAUCAUCCAUCCACCACGUGUGGAUUACCGUGGAACACCACCGCUGGUGGUUGUUUUCACGUGUGAAUCCGACAACGCGUGGCCACUAUCAUGUGAAGAAGUUGCAAAAUGUUGUGUGAGAAAAAUUGUUGGGUGUGGUGAGUGAUGGAUAUUUCCACUAAAAUUUCAUCACUAGUCAUGCUUCUGCCACUUCGCUUGUGCGUAAUUCAAGAUAAGUGGAGCGACUAAUCUAUACUAUAUAUAAAAGCAUAUAGGAAGGACUACUUAAGGUAAUUUGCCACUUCCCUUAAUGCAUAAUGUACAACCUCUAAAGCACAAUAUUCAUUUACAUUUCCCAUUAUACCCUCGCUCACACAAAACACGCGCCCAACAAAACCCUAAAUUUCAUUUCAAAUUUCAAAUUGACAGCCCCUUUUUCAUUUUCGUUCUCUCUCUCCCUCAAAGAUCUGGAUUUGGAUCUGUGGAUCCAAAAGAAAAAAAGAUGUGUUAUUGAUCUACAAUAUCAGAGUGGAAUCAAAAUCUUCAUCUUCAUCUUCCCACUUUUCACGCAUCUAAUUUGUUGGUGGUGUUCCAGGUCAGAAUGCUGUUUUAAAGCUUUGUUUGGAGGUAGCUGGGCUGCUGGGCAUUGAUGAUAAUUACAUCUGGGACGGCCGCGGAAACAAAUGAAGUAGUUGUAAAAGGAGAAAUCCCAGGGAUGAAAGGAUUACGAGAUGAUGGUUAUGCUAACUCUGAAUUCAAGUGGCCAUUUGGUUCUUCCCGAGGAGAAUUAGUGCAAUGAAGCUUUAAAGGAAAAUUACAAAGAAAAAGAAAGAGAACUUAACGUGUUGACUAACGAGAUCCAGGAGGUUCUUACAGCGGGUGACGACGCACUUGAAGACGCGUUAAACGAUCUUGAUAAUGUCACUGUAUGUGAGCAUGUUUUCAUGGCUAGAUUCCUACAGAUCUUAUAUUCAUGGGAGUCCACAUAACAAUCUAGAAGUAAUUUAAAGAUACAAGUGCUUAAAAAAUCUUACCAUGGGUUACAUACAAGUUAAAGGGUUACCCGCAUAGGACUACGUGUGGACGCGUCAAUGCCGGAGACUACUCAGUCAAAGCUGAUCAACUUAGUGUACAAACGGAUUGGGUUAAACAAGGUCAAUGUCGGUCAAAAACAGAAAUGAAGCAUACGUGGAGGUGAUGGUAGCGGCCGCCGGCGGCGAACACAAGCUUUGGGUACCAUAGGGGUUGCUAAUGGAGAUAGGUCCGAUUAGGUACAUACGACGGAGGAUCUGUUGAGAAGGUUUGAGAGUACUUCAUCUACAUUUUCAGAUUAUUGUUAAUGAAAAGAUUAUUGACCAAGAUGAUAGUGAUGAUGUCAAGCUACAAACUUUUGAUGAUGUAAGCAUUCUUUUUGCACCCCCUGAAGUACGGGACAUGGUGCUUUCGUGUGGUUCGGAUCAAACAACCUCAGAUCCAAGCAACGCAGAAGAAGUACAGUUUGUUGAGAAAAAAAUGGCCAAUAUUGAGUACUCUGAGCUGCAUGCAGAAUGCCUACAUCAAAUGAAAUUUGCAGAUUGUGAGUUGUGGGCCACUGAGUUUCGACGGGUGGCAUCCGAUUUACAUUCACAAAGUGAUAAUAAUACACCAGAGGGUCAUAACGCUGCUCUAGAUGCCCUGUUAUUGGCUGCAGAGUCUUAUGUUAAUCCUUUCUUUAUGGUGUCAUUCAAAGA